CACAGCGUGAAUACCAGCAAAGGCUGU
rnacentral:sRNA from 1 species